UACGAAGGGGGCUAGCGUUGCUCGGAAUCACUGGGCGUAAAGCGCACGUAGGCGGAUUCUUAAGUCGGUGGUGAAAUCCUGGAGCUCAACUCCAGAACUGCCUUUGAUACUGGGGAUCUCGAGUCCGGAAGAGGUGAGUGGAACUCCGAGUGUAGAGGUGAAAUUCGUAGAUAUUCGGAAGAACACCAGUGGCGAAGGCGGCUCACUGGUCCGGUACUGACGCUGAGGUGCGAAAGCGUGGGGAGCAAACAGG
rnacentral:rRNA from 1 species